AACCACUCCGCGUCGUGGCCCGUUGCACAUUAGUUCUAUCCUUGUCGAAUUGAUACCAACUCUCGUCCUUGCCUUUUUCUCUAUGUCUCUCUCUCUCUCUCUUUCUGUCUCUAUCUCCCCUUCUCUCUAUAUCUUUCUCUUUCUCUCUCUAGCUCUCAUUCUCUCUUUUUCUCUCUCCCACGUUCUUCGUUCCAAAAGAGAAUGAAGAGAAACGCGCGAGCGCGCUCGGGGUCUACCUCGCGCGGUAGUCAAUACCUUCACCUGCUCGAUUUACCUGAGGGAAAGGAGGAGAGAAGCAGCAGCUUGAGAGAUGAUCGGUACCAGAUCAACGUUAUAACAACCAUCACCAUCAUCAAACAGACAAAUAUGCUACAGACAAUGAAGUAGAUACAAGAGUUUUGUUUAGCAAAAGGAAGAAAGAUGGGCAAGGAAUUGCUUGUAAAGUACAUUCAACUAAACUUCAAAACGGAUGUGAAUAUCUCCUCUGAGACCAUUUUUCAUGGAAUGCAACGUGCAAGUAGUAAUACGAGCUUUCGACAAAUAUCGAUAAGAUCGGUAAAAAUAAGAAGGUAAUAUCGUUUCCGAGUAGUUCCCUAAAAAAGAAAUAGAAAUGUUACCUAUCAUAAAACUUAACUUUAAAUUUGAAUCUCUGAUGUUAAAAAAUGGUAAAAUAAAAAAAAAAUAUAUAUGGAAGGAUGAUUUACUGUGAUUUUGGAAACUUGACAGUCAAACACAAAAAAGGAAUGUUUUCAAAAAUCUUCGAGGAUAAAAUAAACUUCUUACUUUUACCUAAUAAAACCCUUUACUCAGCUAUUUUGCAUAUGCAUAUCACAACCUGUUACAAACAUGAGGCUUGUUUUCAAAAUGAAAACGUUUAAUAAUCAUGCAGUGCUUUAGCAAUAAUAUCAUGCUAUUUUUAUAACUUCGUUUAUAUCGUCGUGAUUUAAUAAACAACUGAUGCGUAUUACUAUCUAUUCAUAUAUAAAUUAAUUGAUAUUAAUUUACUUUGUAUUAUCUCAUUAUUUCAAUUGAAAAACAUUGAAUCUAUUACGUUGCACGUUUAAUUACUAUAGUACUGCAAGAAUAACUAAUGGUAUUAAAUACUAUCUACAAUUAGUGAGAAUAUAUUGAUAGCUGUAAUGUAUGAAUUUAAUGUGAAGAUGAUAAGUAGGAAAUUGCUCUAUUAAAUGCCAGCAAAUAGAGCAUCAUAUCGAUGCCACCUUUAGAAUAAUUUGCUGCGACAUAUAAUAUCCAUGUAUCUUCAUUUAAGGUGAACAUAAUGCCACUUAUUAACUGAAAUCAUACAAAAUUUUCAAAUAAAUAAAAAUUAAAUCACAAUUUUGCACACACGUAA